AACGAACGCUGGCGGCAUGCCUAACACAUGCAAGUCGAACGAGACCUUCGGGUCUAGUGGCGCACGGGUGCGUAACGCGUGGGAACCUGCCUUUAGGUUCGGAAUAACUCAGAGAAAUUUGAGCUAAUACCGGAUGAUGUCUUCGGACCAAAGAUUUAUCGCCUUUAGAUGGGCCCGCGUUGGAUUAGCUAGUUGGUGGGGUAAAGGCCUACCAAGGCGACGAUCCAUAGCUGGUCUGAGAGGAUGAUCAGCCACACUGGGACUGCGACACGGCCCAGACUCCUACGGGAGGCAGCAGUGGGGAAUAUUGGACAAUGGGCGAAAGCCUGAUCCAGCAAUGCCGCGUGAGUGAUGAAGGCCUUAGGGUUGUAAAGCUCUUUUACCCGAGAUGAUAAUGACAGUAUCGGGAGAAUAAGCUCCGGCUAACUCCGUG
rnacentral:rRNA from 1 species